UGUUCAGCAACUCCUAUCCCUACCUCCUCGCGGUACUGGCCGGAGUAUUAGCAAGAUCGGG
rnacentral:ribozyme from 1 species